UGCUCGAAGAUCUUAGUGGCGGACGGGUGAGUAACGCGUGGGCAAUCUGCCCGUAAGAGGGGGAUAACACCUAGAAAUGGGUGCUAAUACCGCAUAACAUCAUAGGGUUGCAUGACCUUGUGAUCAAAGGAGAAAUCCGCUUACGGAUGAGCCCGCGUCUGAUUAGCUAGUUGGUGGGGUAACGGCCUACCAAGGCGACGAUCAGUAGCCGGCCUGAGAGGGUGAUCGGCCACACUGGAACUGAGACACGGUCCAGACUCCUACGGGAGGCAGCAGUGGGGAAUCUUCCGCAAUGGGCGAAAGCCUGACGGAGCAACGCCGCGUGAGUGAUGAAGGCCUUCGGGUUGUAAAACUCUGUCUUCAGGGAAGAAAAAAAUGACGGUACCUGAGGAGGAAGCCACGGCUAACUACGUGCCAGCAGCCGCGGUAAUACGUAGGUGGCAAGCGUUGUCCGGAAUUACUGGGCGUAAAGAGCGCGUAGGCGGGGAUUUAAGUCAGGAGUGAAAACUACCGGCUCAACCGGUAGCCUGCUCUUGAAACUGAAUCUCUUGAGGGUAUGAGAGGAAAGCGGAAUUCCCAGUGUAGCGGUGAAAUGCGUAGAUAUUGGGAGGAACACCAGUGGCGAAGGCGGCUUUCUGGCAUACAACUGACGCUGAGGCGCGAAAGCGUGGGGAGCAAACGGGAUUAGAUACCCCGGUAGUCCACGCCGUAAACGAUGGGCACUAGGUGUAGGAGGUAUCGACCCCUUCUGUGCCGUAGUUAACACAAUAAGUGCCCCGCCUGGGGAGUACGGCCGCAAGGUUGAAACUCAAAGGAAUUGACGGGGGCCCGCACAAGCGGUGGAGUAUGUGGUUUAAUUCGACGCAACGCGAAGAACCUUACCAGGGCUUGACAUCC
rnacentral:rRNA from 1 species